rnacentral:rRNA from 1 species
CAGACUUGCUCGUUGUUGCUCAUCUAGGCUCUUGCCUGGAGCAUUCGACUGCGGGCAGGCCAGCAUCAGUUUGGGCGGCCGGAUAAAGACCUCUGUCACGUAUCUUCCUUCGGGAUGACCUUAUAGGGGAGGUGUAACACGGCCAGUCCGGACUGAGGUCCGCGCAUCUGCUAGGAUGCUGGCGUAAUGGCUGUAAGCGGCCCGUCUUGAAACACGGACCAAGGAGUCUAACAUGUAUGCGAGUGUU